UACAUUUUGGAUUGACAUGCACAUUUCCGUUUCAAAAAAAAAACAAAAAUCCAUUCUCACAAUUUUUUCCAAAAAAAAAACAGCUCACCACUCUUAUCCUCAUACUAAUACACUGCACGACACACACACAUGCUAUAUAUAUCUAGCACAGAGAGCUGCAUGAGGGGAGGAAAUAACAGGGAUUGGGGUUAAAAAACGGGAGAGAGGAAAAAAGAUCGAGAAAGUCUCCUUCUACUUCUUCAAGCAAAUCACAGUAGCCAUACAACAUUAAAAUUCCAUUUUUUCUUCAUAACUUCAUCAUAUAAAUCCCAUAGAAACUUAUCUCUUGUUCCAUAAAACCAGUCCCCAAAACUUUGAAGCUCCCAAAAUGGAGGCACCCCACCGAUUUGGAAGGAACCUUCAACAGCCAAAUCUCUGAUUUCUCAGAACACCCAACAACUUAAACACACACACACAUCUAACACAUACAAAAACGAAAAAACAGAGAAGGAAAAGGGUCGAGAUCACUUAAAUACGAAGGGGGAAAAGGAUCAAGAUCUGGAAAAUGAAGGGAACAAAAAAUCGAACAAACUUUCUCUUUCGCUUUCUUCCUCACUGACAGCAACCUUCACUGGUUUUCUUCAUCUCCCGUUCUCAAAAAUGCAGCAGCAAUUUUUAAGUUUGAGUUCCAUCGUGGUCGCCGGAGUAGUUUCGCGUUCGAGGUUCCGAUGUUGCUAGUUUCUUGUUCGAUCUUCGUUCCGAUAGUCGGGGAUUUGUUUGGCUCGGACAAAUAUCCAGGUGCCCGAGCGGCCGAGUGAGCAUUUUUCAGCUGGUUCAGUUUUCUGUCGGGGAUUUCGAGGUAGCUGCAUGGCGUUCGCAGCCCUGUUCUCUCCCUUCUAUCUUGUUAUCUUUUCAGUAUUUUCUAGACUAUCUAUGUAGUAGGAUGUUCGGACUUGCAUUAGAGGCUUUGGACUCGUGACACCAGAUCAGUUGGGCUGUGUAGUUUAUUGUUAUUUUGACUUCCGCA